CCUACGGGAGGCAGCAGUGAGGAAUUUUCCGCAAUGGGCGAAAGCCUGACGGAGCAAUACCGCGUGAGGGGUGAAGGAUUUUGGUCUGUAAACCUCUUUUCUCAAGAAAGAAGUUCUGACGGUACUUGAGGAAUAAGCAUCGGCUAACUCCGUGCCAGCAGCCGCGGUAAUACGGGGGAUGCAAGCGUUAUCCGGAAUGAUUGGGCGUAAAGCGCCUGUAGGUUGUUUAUUAAGUCCGUUGUUAAAGCCUAGGGCUUAACCCUAGAAAAGCAAUGGAAACUAGUAGACUAGAGUAUGGCAGGGGUAGAGGGAAUUUCUAGUGUAGCGGUGAAAUGCGUAGAUAUUAGAAAGAACACCGGUGGCGAAAGCGCUCUACUGGACCAUUACUGACACUCAGAGGCGAAAGCUAGGGUAGCAAAAGGGAUUAGAUACCCCUGUAGUCCUAGCCGUAAACGAUGGAUACUAGAUGUUGUGCAUUAUGUACAGUAUCGUAGCUAACGCGUUAAGUAUCCGCCUGGGGAGUACGCUCGCAAGGGUGAAACUCAAAUGAAUUGACGG
rnacentral:rRNA from 1 species